rnacentral:lncRNA from 10 species
CACGCCCAGCUAAUUUUUGUAUUUUUAGUAGAGAUGGGGUUUCACCAUAUUGGCUAAGAUAGUCUCGAACUCCUGACCUCGUGAUCUGCCCACCUCGGCCUCCCAAAGUGCUGGAAUUACAGGCGUGACCCACCACACCCUGCAAACAUCAGCCAUUUUAUAGUUCUCUCCAUUCUGUUCUCUCCUUCUGCAACUUCUAUUAAAGCCUGUAUUGGACCUUUUAAAGCCUGUAUUGGACCUUUUUACUUUAUUUUUGUAGUCUCCUACCCUCCCUUGUUUGCUGCGCUUCCUUGAGUAAAUUCCUCAGAACUACCUUUAAAAUCUGUUGUCUCUAAUAUAGUUUAACUCAUCCAUUGAAUCUUUUUUCUUUUUCCUUUUUUUUACAGAGUCUCAUUUGGUUGCCCAGGCUGGAGUGCAGUGGCACAAUCUUGGCUUACUGCAACCUCUGCCCCCAGGAUUCAUGUGAUUCUCCUGCCUCAGCCUCCUGAGUAGCUGAGAUUACCAGCGCAUGCCACCACGCCCAGCUAAUUUUUGUAUUUUUAGUAGAGAUGGGGUUUCACCAUAUUGGCCAAGAUAGUCUCGAACUCCUGACCUCAUGAUCUGCCCACCUCGGUCUCCUAAAGUGCUGGGAUUACAGGCGUGAGCCACCGCACCUGGCCUUUGAAUCGUGUUUAUAGGUCACAGGGUGCCUGAGAGUAAAGCCAGUCCAGGGAGAUUCUUGACGUUAAUAUUUAACUUCGUGUGUUGACAGACCACAUAAAUGGUAUAUACCUUGAAAAUCAAAAUGCACAUGAACACAAACUCCUGGUGAAAAAGUUUUGAGGGAUGAUUUCAUCUCUCCCAGUCCACAGCCCAGACCAAAACAGGCAAGUUUCCCUCCACUUCCCUAUGCUGGGGGGUGACGGGGUGGAAGGGGCCAGAUUUUUUUUUUUCUAGUUCACCUAUGUGCACUGCCCUUAAAAGGGUCCUGGCUUGGCUGGGCAUGGUGGCUGUUUGUAAUCCCAGCACUUUGGGAAGCUGCGGUGAGAUCACUUGAGCCAAGGAGUUCGAGACCAUCCUGGGCAACAUAGCAAGACCCCAUCUCUACAAAAACAUUUUAAAAUAAAAAAAAUAAGGGUGAAUUACUUACAUACCUUAUCUCAUCUUAAGCCCCAAAGUUAACUGUGUCAUGCGGGUUUUUAGUUUCCUUUUAGUUCUCUCUGGCCACUGGAGAUUGUACUUUAUGGUGAGCUGAUUUGUAUCAUAGUUCUACUCAGCAUUUCCAUGUGUCCUGUAUUAUAUGAAAUACACAUCAUUUGUGUGUUUCAAAGCAUUUAAAUUACCCCACUGGGGCACAGAGCAAGGUUAUA